CUUGACAUUACAUUUUCAGCUCAAUUUCCUGAAGAAUUAUCAGAGCCAUAGAAUGGAGAUAGUAAUCAUUCUCCUAGUCACCACGUAAGAGACUCUCCCAGCGGUUCACAGCCAGCUGUGAGGACAGACUCCACACACUUUUGAAAAGAACCCAGGCUGCCACCAGAACCCUUUUCUAAGGGAGCUGGGCUACUAUGCCUGAAUCCCACAGUAAAUAAAGGGUUGAGAAGAAAAGAAUUUUUAACGUCACAUUACCAAAACUCCUGGCCCCCAGAUGGCUGAUGCUAACAGAUCCUCUGUAUUGCAACGGAUGAAGAUGAGCCCUGGGCGGCCUUUGUCAACGGAUGAAGAUGAGCCCUGGGCGGCCUUUGUCAACGGAUGA
ensembl:lncRNA